rnacentral:rRNA from 1 species
CCUAUUCAUGAUAAGAAUAACAUAGUCGGAUAUUACGAACUGCAGUUUAAAAUUCAAAGAUUUUGGCGGUGUCUUACAAAACCAGGGGAACCUGUCUCAUAAUUCGAUAGUCCACGACUACCUAACCUCUUUUUGACCCUCAGCAUGUGUACUGCCGUUGUAAGCAAACCCCUAAAAGUACAAAGUAUGCCCCAAUGAUUAAUUAGUAUAAUUAACUCAUUUACAUCAGGUCAAGGUGCAGCUAAUAAAGAGGAGAUGAUGGGUUACAAUCUAAAAAAAGAAAUGAAUUAAAAGAUUAAAAAUUUUAUAAAAGUGGACUUGACUGUAAUAAAAAAAUAUUAUAAAUAAAUGAAUACAUAUCUAAGACAUGCACACAUCGCCCGUCA